GACGAACGCUGGCGGCGUGCCUAAUACAUGCAAGUUGAACGAUGAUUUCUGGUACUUGUAUCAGAAUGAAGAGUAGCGAACGGGUGAGUAACGCGUGGGUAACCUACCUCUUAGCGGGGGACAACUAUUGGAAACGAUAGCUAAUACCGCAUAACAAUGCUUAACACAUGUUGAGUAUUUGAAAGUACCAAUUGGUACACUAGGAGAUGGACCCGCGUUGUAUUAGCUAGUUGGUAGUGUAAUGGACUACCAAGGCGAUGAUACAUAGCCGACCUGAGAGGGUGAUCGGCCACAUUGGGACUGAGACACGGCCCAAACUCCUACGGGAGGCAGCAGUAGGGAAUCUUCGGCAAUGGACGAAAGUCUGACCGAGCAACGCCGCGUGAGUGAAGAAGGUUUUCGGAUCGUAAAACU
rnacentral:rRNA from 1 species